GGCGGUAGUUUAACUAACCAGAGGAAUUUGCCCUAUAAUCGAUAAUCCCCGCUAUAUUUUACUUAAACUUGUAGUCAGCUUGUAUACCGCCGUCACCAGGAAAUUUUAGGAAAAUAUUUUCAAGAUUCUUUGAGGUAGAAUGUCAGGUCAAGGUGCAGCUAAUAUUUAAGAAGAGGUGAAUUACAAUAAGGUAACUUACACGGAGUGUUUAAUGAAAAUGAAUAUGAAGGUGGAUU
rnacentral:rRNA from 1 species